UUUUUGGCAACUGCACAAUAAGGCUACUUUCACUAUAGCGUUUCUGCUGGAUCCGACAGGGUUCAGCAAAAACGCUUCCGUUACUGAUAAUACAACCAUCUGCAUCCGUUAUGAAGGAUCCGCUUGUAUUAUCUUUAACAUUGCCAAGACGAAUCCAUCA